AAAAAAGCAGAUAGUCUCUGCUUAAUAUUCAGGCCGCAUGCUUGAGGACCAGCUAAAGUCUCUAUUAAAAAUAAAUAAACUACAACGAUGUGGGUUUAUACCGUAGUUUAAGGUCAUGCAGGCAUUAGCUUUGCCAGGGAAAUACUGACUAUAGGAAAUUGGUCGAGCAAAUUAUUUAAAAAGUGUGUAGAGAUGGGUUUAUGGAAUAGGGCAGCUUUUCUCGUAGGACGGCUUGACAAAGGAACAUAACCUUUUACAAAAGCCAAAAAAAAAAUUGUAGUCAUCUAAAAUUUCCUAUUUGGCCUUGGGCAUCUAAUUUUAAAAAGUUGAAUUUGCAUGUAUGUAAUAUUUAAUUGUUCCUUAUCAAGCAGCUUUAGACUGUAAAAUAGUGUGAAACAGGCAUAAAAUUGCAGUGAAUGGACUUGCAUGAAAGGAGUUUGUAUUUAACUGUUCCUCUGCAUUUCGUAAACAUUAUGGCCUUUGACAUCCAAUUCUUUCCUGAUCUUUCUGAACCUUGCCGGACCUUUUGUGACAGAGUAUUUCAUGUGCUGCUUCCUAUUUUAGAUUUUAGGCAUAUGCAUCAGGUUACUGUAGUAUACAGAAGCUCAUUUGUCACACGCUUCAGGUUACUGUAGUAUGUAGAAGCUCAUUUGGCACGCGCAUCAGGUUACUGUAGUAUGUAGAAGCUCAUUUGGCACGCGCAUCAGGUUACUGUAGUAUGUAGAAGCUCAUUUGGCACGCGCAUCAGGUUACUGUAGUAUGUAGAAGCUCAUUUGGCACACGCAUCAGGUUACUGUAGUAUGUAGAAGCUCAUUUGGCACACGCAUCAGGUUACUGUAGUAUGUUGAAGCUCAUUUGGCACACGCAUCAGGUUACUGUAGUAUGCAAUAGCUCAUUUGGCACACGCUUCAGGUUACUGUAGUAUGUAGAAGCUCAUUUGGCACACGCUUCAGGUUACUGUAGUAUGUAGAAGCUCAUUUGGCACACGCGUCGUUACUGUAGCAUGUAGAAGCUCAUUUGGCACACGCGUCAGGUUACUGUAGCAUGUAGAAGCUCAUUUGGCACACGCGUCAGGUUACUGUAGUAUGUAGAAGCUCAUUUGGCACACGCGUCAGGUUACUGUAGUAUGUAGAAGCUCAUUUGGCACACGCGUCAGGUUACUGUAGCAUGUAGAAGCUCAUUUGGCACACGCUUCAGGUUACUGUAGUAUGUAGAAGCUCAUUUGGCACACGCAUCAGGUUACUGUAGCAUGUAGAAGCUCAUUUGGCACAUGCAUCAGGUUACUGUAGUAUGUAGAAGCUCAUUUGGCACACGCUUCAGGUUACUGUAGCAUGUAGAAGCUCAUUUGGCACACGCAUCAGGUUACUGUAGCAUGUAGAAGCUCAUUUGGCACACGCAUCAGGUUACUGUAGCAUGUAGAAGCUCAUUUGGCACACGCUUCAGGUUACUGUAGCAUGUAGAAGCUCAUUUGGCACACGCUUCAGGUUACUGUAGUAUGUAGAAGCUCAUUUGGCACACGCAUCAGGUUACUGUAGUAUGCAAUAGCUCAUUUGGCACACGCAUCAGGUUACUGUAGUAUGCAAUAGCUCAUUUGGCACACGCAUCAGGUUACUGUAGUAUGCAAUUGCUCAUUUGGCACACGCGUCAGGUUACUGUAGUAUGCAAUAGCUCAUUUGGCACACGCUUCAGGUUACUGUAGUAUGUAGAAGCUCAUUUGGCACACGCUUCAGGUUACUGUAGUAUGUAGAAGCUGAUUUGGCACACGCAUCAGGUUACUGUAGUAUGCAAUAGCUCAUUUGGCACACGCAUCAGGUUACUGUAGUAUGCAAUAGCUCAUUUGGCACACGCAUCAGGUUACUGUAGUAUGCAAUUGCUCAUUUGGCACACGCGUCAGGUUACUGUAGUAUGCAAUAGCUCAUUUGGCACACGCUUCAGGUUACUGUAGUAUGUAGAAGCUCAUUUGGCACACGCUUCAGGUUACUGUAGUAUGUAGAAGCUCAUUUGGCACACGCUUCAGGUUACUGUAGUAUAUAGAAGCUCAUUUGGCAAACGCAUCAGGUUACUGUAGUAUAUAGAAGUUCAUUUGGCACACGCAUCAGGUUACUGUAGUAUGCAAUAGCUCAUUUGGCACACGCGUCAGGUUACUGUAGUAUGUAAUAGCUCAUUUGGCACACGCUUCAGGUUACUGUAGUAUGUAGAAGCUCAUUUGGCACACGCAUCAGGUUACUGUAGUAUAUAGAAGCUCAUUUGGCACACGCAUCAGGUUACUGUAGUAUGCAAUAGCUCAUUUGGCACACGCUUCAGGUUACUGUAGUAUGUAGAAGCUGAUUUGGCACACGCAUCAGGUUACUGUAGUAUGCAAUAGCUCAUUUGGCACACGCAUCAGGUUACUGUAGUAUGCAAUAGCUCAUUUGGCACACGCAUCAGGUUACUGUAGUAUGCAAUAGCUCAUUUGGCACACGCGUCAGGUUACUGUAGUAUGCAAUAGCUCAUUUGGCACACGCUUCAGGUUACUGUAGUAUGUAGAAGCUCAUUUGGCACACGCUUCAGGUUACUGUAGUAUGUAGAAGCUCAUUUGGCACACGCUUCAGGUUACUGUAGUAUAUAGAAGCUCAUUUGGCAAACGCAUCAGGUUACUGUAGUAUAUAGAAGUUCAUUUGGCACACGCAUCAGGUUACUGUAGUAUGCAAUAGCUCAUUUGGCACACGCGUCAGGUUACUGUAGUAUGCAAUAGCUCAUUUGGCACACGCUUCAGGUUACUGUAGUAUGUAGAAGCUCAUUUGGCACACGCAUCAGGUUACUGUAGUAUAUAGAAGCUCAUUUGGCACACGCUUCAGGUUACUAUUUAAAAAUGACUGGCACGCAGGA